GAUGAACGCUGGCGGCGUGCCUAAUACAUGCAAGUCGAGCGAACGGACGAGAAGCUUGCUUCGCUGGUGUUAGCGGCGGACGGGAGAGUAACACGUGGAUAACCUACCUAUAAUACUGGGAGAACUUCGGGAAACCGGAGCUAAUACCGGAUAAUAUUUUGAACCGCAUGGUUCAAAAGUGAAAGACGGUCUUGCUGUCACUUAUAGAUGGAUCCGCGCUGCAUUAGCAAGUUGGUAAGGUAACGGCUUACCAAGGCAACGAUGCAUAGCCGACCUGAGAGGGGGAUAGGCCACACUGGAGCUGAGACACGGUCCCGACUCCUGCGGGAGGCCGCAGUAUGGUAUCUUCCGCAAUGGGCGAGAGCCUGACGGAGCAGCGCCGCGUGAGUGAUGACGGUCUUCGGAUCGUAAAACCCUGUUAUUAGGGAAGAACAUAUGUGUAAGUAAAUGUGCACAUCUUGACGGUACCUACUCAGAAAGCCCCGGCUAACUACGUG
rnacentral:rRNA from 1 species